rnacentral:lncRNA from 1 species
CCGCGCGCGCACAGCUUCUCUGCCAAGUGUGAGAGUGACUCGUGGAAACUUCACCUCUCUCACCAUUGCUCUUACUUCGACGUCCACAAACCACCAAAGUGUUUUCUGUGUGUGCCUCGUGCUCCCCUAAGGCCAUGCCUAACAAGGGAAACAACAAACGACCCAAGGGUUGUAUGCCUGACAAGAAGCCAAGUCAAGACCGAAUUAAGAGUCAACCGAAGGAGCAGAAGGAAGAGAAACCGAAGGAGAAAGAAAAAAAAUAAAGGUGAUGCCAACUCAGCUGGCCUGUCAUCCAACGGGUACCAACUUUCCAACGUUCCAGUCUCCGCUCUUUCGUCUCCACAUGCGCCAUAGCCUCUCCUCCUCCUCCUCCUCCUUCGCCGCCGCCGCCGCCGCCGUCAGCGUCUCUCGUCUCUCCAGGGGACUCCAGGAGCGCCGCCCCUCCGCGUGUCGUCCUGCCUCCCACCGGCGGCUCGACACUCCCAGGUUACACACCCUACCUCCCCUCCGUACUCCUAGACUCCUAGACUAGAGGCUUCAAGGUUCCAGAAUGCACUAGAGCUGCCCACGGCCCGCCAUACUCUCCUCCUUAGCUCCCCCUCACAUCUACAGCCAUAGCUUCCUUGCAUCCACCUCAUCUCAUCGCCUCUCGUGAGGGAUGGCUCCCUCCUUUCGUCCUUCAUGGCUCUAGACAAUCCUCCGCGGCUCCCUCGCGCGUUCCGACUCUGCCCUGAGAACCCACGGGGGCUGCGGACGUCAGGCUGAUCCCCUUUUCUAAAAUCCCCGGCCUGUUGACCGUGCAACGAUGCCGCCAUCUUCCCUCUCGGCCUCUCCGCUCCUCUCAGGGCCGCUUCGCCCUCUCCUUCUGAGCUCACGGCAGCGCUCACGGCGUUCUCUCCGGAUGACCUCGUGGCUGCACCCCCCCCCCCCCCCCCCCCCCCCCGAGGUGCCACAGCAACAGCCCCAAAAUCCUUGACCCUCUCCGGGAAUUUCCAGAAAGACUGCGAGAUUGUCUGGAAACUUCCUGGCUCUCCUCACUCCCCCCCAUGUCCCCUCCCCUCCCCGCCCCUUCCUGGAUCAUCCUCGCGAGGCCCUCGACGUCCAUCUCGCCCUCUCGACCUCUUCUUAGUCUGCCUCCCCGCCCCCUCCCCCUCCUGCCCCCCUUCCUCCUCCUGACCUCGUCUGUGCACCCACGCUGCCAGUGCUUGCUUCCAGUGCCAUAUUUUUCAGACAACGAAUGUGUUUUGUUGUCGAAUUACAAUCUCUUGAGAGAAAUGUAUUUUUGGAUAUAAUUAUUUAGCAGGAAGGAAAAAAAAGAAUAUUUGAUACUGUCUACCUUAGUUAACGAUUAUUUUCUACAUACAUUUAUAUACAUAUAUUUUGCCAAGUAUUUGAUAUUUCAACAGCUAUUUUUUCUAUGUACAUUGUUUUUCUUUAUCUAUUUUGGACUAAUUUUCAUGUAACGACAUUUUCCGUAGAUCUCUUCGUUAAAAAUUCCUCUUUUAUUCCCAUUCUCAUGUCCUACCCUGUAAGCAGGCCUAUAUUUUUUUCCCCAUCGAUAAAAUUCCAAAAUCUUUUUACGUAUCAUAUCUUCCAUUGUCUCUCUUUUUUGCGUGUUUCCCUUCUCUCGUUAACCUUUCUUUCUGUCUUUCUCAUCGCGAGCCGGGCACUUCGCUCUCCAAGUGGCACUCCGCUCGGCUUGGAGACUCCUCCACUCCUUAAUUGUGUCUGCCUCGCGACUUUGGCCUCGGGCGCUCCUAACAGCCCCCCCCCCCGGGCACCUCUCACCCGCCACUUCUUUGCAAAUUCGCCCCACUCGGCUCACAUCCCAUUACUCUUAACUUCUUUACUCUUUACUCUCCUGGUUAUGACGUCACACUCCAAAUGAUACCUCUCCUCUUUCUCACGCUGCCUCUCCGACGCCUUGUUAUUAUUUCAGAUUCCCCCUUUGUCUCAUUUAUCUCCAUUCUGCCAUUUUCUCUUUGUUUCCCAAAUUACUUUCUCCCCUCGCUUAUUUAUAUCCGACUCUUAAUUACGGUCUCUUUAUCUAUCGCAUCUCGACACUGAUUCUUAAUUCUUGUUCUCCUCUUCGCCUGCCCCCCCUCCCCCUCCCCUUGAUUUGAUUAAAAAUGCAAAAUGAAAAAAAAAAAAAAAAAACACCCACUUUCAGUACUCGCUUCCCCUCCCGUGACUCAACAUGCGUUCCCCUAUGUUGCCCUACAGCCCUAUGUUGCCCGGCGCCCUUCGCAUCCCCUCUCGCAUUCCUGGCUUGCUGCAGCGUUUAUCAAUCUCAUUUUUUUUCUUCUUCUUUUUAACGCGCACUACGUACCUACAGAUUUUUUUCGUCGCCAGGCAUUCAUUCCUCUGGCAUGAGCGAAUAUUGACACAACACUUUAAGGGCUGGUUGAUUAAACGAGGUUUAUUUCAGGUCCGCGAAGGAUUAAUUACAUAACGUUAUAUACAAUACGAUGGCAUAAUCACAACACACGGAUAUCUAAAUUACAGCGAUACAUUAGUACCAGCACCAACUGCAACUGGAGAUUUUAAGACAAAGUUACAGCGACACAUUCAAUACAUGCAGCAAGAUCCAGCGCCAUAGACACAGCACGGACAGCUGUAUCCUCGCGCCCGGCCCACGUCUGCCCCGGCACAGGCAACGAGCACACUUAACAUACAUUUCCUUUCCGCUCAGAACAAAGCUCUCGCACUCGCCAGGGAUUUGAGCGCCUCCCCUCCCUCCCUC